CGCAAGCCUGACGGAGCAAGACCGCGUGCGGGAUGACGGCCUAAUGGUUGUAAACCGCUUUUCUCUGGGAAGAUGAUGACGGUACCAGAGGAAUCAGCCUCGGCUAACUCCGUGCCAGCAGCCGCGGUAAUACGGAGGAGGCAAGCGUUAUCCGGAAUUAUUGGGCGUAAAGCGUCCGUAGGUGGUUAUUCAAGUCUGCUGUCAAAGCGUGGGGCUUAACUCCAUAGAGGCAGUGGAAACUGGAUGACUUGAGUGCGGUAGGGGUCGAGGGAAUUCCCAGUGUAGCGGUGAAAUGCGUAGAUAUUGGGAAGAACACCAGUGGCGAAAGCGCUCGACUGGGCCUACACUGACACUGAGGGACGAAAGCUAGGGGAGCG
rnacentral:rRNA from 1 species